AGGAGCUAGGAGCUUAUGAUGUUCUGCAGAAAAGUACUGAUGCACCUGCAGUCUGCAAAUACAUUUAAAAUUAAGUACCAGCAGUAAACAAUACAAGGUGUCCACGUUAUACUAGUCAAACUUUGGUUCGCAAGUUCAGCACGGCUUUAUUAACCUUAAGAAGAUAAUAUUAUGUAACUGACAGUUGACUCUGGAGUCUGGAUGAGUAUUCAAGCUCCAUGUCUCACACAUCCAGCUGUUAUUUGAAGAGGUUACAACAAUUUAAGAGGUUCUAACUUGGUGUGUUCUUUCAUAUCCAGCUUUCAUUUGAGGUCACAAGAACAGAAGCUUAGUUGCUAACCUUGUAUCUUUUUGUUUAUCUUUGACUCGACCUUUUGAUGCAGAAAUGGAGCAUGCGGUUGUUAGUGCUGCAGAAGGUGCAAUCCACACUCUUUUGGGAAAGCUUGGGGCAGUCGUUGUCCAGGAAGCCCAGCUUCUAGGCAGUGUCAAGGUUGAACUGCAAUACUUGAAGGAUGAGCUGGAAAGCAUGACAGCCUUCCUUCAAGAUCUUGCUGAGAGAAAUGAACAUCGCAAGCAAGUUAAGAUUUGGAUGAAGCAAGUACGUGAGCUUGCAUAUGAUGUUGAGGAUUGUAUUGAUGAAUUCAAACACCAUCUUGGAGACAGCAGGGAUGGUAGAGGCAGCGGACCUGUGUUUAUUCACAGGAUCACUCACAUAUUACGAACCACCAGAGUGCGGCAUCGAUUAGCCAAACAAAUCCAAGAACUAAAAAUGCGUGCUACAAAUGUUACCAACCGAAAUUCUAGGUAUAGUGGCAAUCAUUUCAUCUUUGGAGCUGCUGGGAAUAGCAUGGCUUAUGACACCCCAACUAAUCUUUUAACUCUUGAUGUUCGCAUCACUGCACUUGUUCCAGAGAGAAAGCAGCUUGUAGGUGUUGAAGCACGCCAAGAAAGUCUACUGCGGUGGUUGACGGACAGGCAUGUACAAAAACGUAGGGUGAUAUCCAUAUUUGGUUUCGGUGGUUUGGGCAAGACGACUCUUGCUAUGACAACAUAUCAAAGUCUAUCUGCAACAAGUGGAAGUUUCCAGUGCCAAGCUUUUGUAACUGUGUCGCAGAGGUUUGAUGUCAAGGUGCUGAUAAGAGACAUUCUUCUACAAAUUAUUCAACCAGUCCAUCGACAAGGCCAUCGUGCAUCAACUGAAGCUGGUGAAGCAUCCAGAGAAGGCAUGCUCAAGGGCAUGGAAACAUGGGAUGUGGGAGUAAUUGCAAGCAUGUUGCGGCAGCAAUUGGAAAACAAGAGAUAUCUAAUUGUUCUUGAUGAUAUUUGGAGCAUAGCUGCAUGGGAAGCUUUUCGAUUUUCUCUGCCCGACUCAAAUAAUGGUAGCAGGGUACUGGUUACUACACGAAUCAGAGCUGUGGCACACUCUUGUUGUUUCCAUGAGUAUGACCGAGCUUAUGAAAUCGAACCUCUCACUAAUUAUGAAUCGAGAGACCUUUUUUUCAAUAGAAUAUUUGGCAGCACAGUUAAUUGUCCCGAGAACUUACGAGAAAUUUCAGAAAAGAUCUUGGGAAAAUGUGGGGGUAGUCCCUUAGCCAUUGUCAGUAUAGCAGGUCUCUUGACUAGCAAGCCUGUGCACAGUAAAGAUCAAUGGCAGAAGAUUUAUAGUUCUCUUGGUACAGAGCUUGAGACCAGUCCAUCACUUGAGAGAUUGAAGAAAAUACUUGAGCUUAGCUACAAUGAUCUGCCUUACCACUUGAAAACAUGUUUCUUAUAUUUGAGUAUUUACCCUGAGGAUCACAAGAUCAGAAGGAAAAGUGUACUAAGACGAUGGGUAGCAGAGCGUUUUGUGACUGAAAGGCGUGGACUAAGUGUUUUUGAGGUGGCAGAAAGCUACUUUGACGAAUUCAUCAAUCGAAGCAUUAUCCAGCCGGUUGAAAUUAGCUUCACUGGGAAGGUUAAAACAUUUCGAGUUCAUGAUGUGAUGUUGGAGAUCAUUGUAACAAAGUCAAUUGAGGAGAAUUUUAUCACUCUGGUAGGUGAACAGCACACUUUAGUUCCACAAGAGAAGAUUCGGCGUCUCUCUGUUCACAGUGGAGAUGUGAGAGAUAUCGGUAUGAGCAGAAUGUUAUCCCAUGUUCGGUCCUUGAGCAUAUUCGCCAAUGGAGAAAUAUUGCAGUUUGGUUGUAUGAAACUGAUUAGGAUAUUAGACUUGGAAGGCCAUGAAUCGCUGACGAGUAGAGAUCUCAAAAACGUGUGCAGGCUGUUUCAGCUGGAGUAUCUUAGUCUCAGAGGAACACGUGUUAUGGAACUUCCCACAAAAAUAGGAAAGCUGAAGAAGUUAGAGACUCUGGAUAUAAGGGGCACAGCCAUAAAGCGUUUGCCUCCAGGCAUUACCAAUCUUCUGCAUUUGGAAAAUUUACUUGGAGGGAAAAGGCAUUACCAUCACAAUGGGUCGUGGCCAAUUUCUGAGUUCUGGGGUAUACAUAUACCUAAGAAACUAGGCAACAUGGAUGCCCUUAAAACACUUGCACAGGUAGAAUUCACAGAGUCCACAUCCCAUUGCAUUAAUGAGCUGGGCAAGCUAUCUCGGUUGAAAAAGCUUGGAGUAAUGAUGUUUGUUGAUGAUGACAACAGCUGGGCAUCCUUAAUCUCUGCACUUGAGAAUCUAAGUGGCAACCUUUGCUCAUUGUUACUUUGGCGACCUGAUGGUGCGAUGAACUUUGAUUCUCUUGAUGCAUUAUCCAGACCACCAAUGUUUAUGAAAAGUAUCAACUUCCGAGGCCAGUUAAGAAAACUACCUAAGUGGAUCCCAUUGCUUUCCAACCUCACCGAUUUAACCCUUCGUGCAACUGAAUUAAGUGCCAAGGAAGACCUGAAGGUGCUUGCACGGUUGCCUAGCCUGCUCUACCUUAGGCUGCAUCACAGUUCUUACGUCGAAAACAAAUUUGUUGUUGCUGCAUCAGAAUUUCCAUGUCUUAAACUGCUUGUCAUUCAUCUUGCUCUGCCUGAAGCUUGGAAAGCAAGAUUUCAUGAAGGAGCUUUGCCAAGGCUCGAAAAGCUAGAGCUGUCUCUGUUCGAAGGAACUUACAUCCAAGAGAUUGCAGGUAUAGAAUUUCUUUUGAAUCUUAAGGAGGUCUUGAUUCGUGCUUGUCCGAGUAAUGCCACGAAGGGUAUUGUUCAAUCUCUGAAGGUUUAUGCUAGCAAUAACUUCGACAAGCCCACCAUCAUUUUCAAAGAGAAACAGUGGGAGCUGACUGAGUCAAGGACGGAUCCACCCUUAGAUCACAGGGGAAACCCCUUUGGUCCUCAAUUUUAGAUAAAUUUUGAAGAUUUGUGAGCUCUAAGUCACUGCCUACCAGUGCGGAAUACUUUUCUAUGCGAUGCUGCCAAGUGCAUUCAUGUCAAAAACCUGCGCUGAUCAGCCAUACAGGGAAGUCCCCUACUGCGGCUUAGAAGUCCCUACUGCGGCUUGGGCAAACUGACCAGGGGUGCGUCAAUGCGUGCAACCUGUGCAAUGUGGAGACUGGAGAGCAGGACCGUGGGACGCGUCGGUGUGGAGGGAUAGUUUCAGCUUUUAAUAGAAACUCCCGUUUCGACAAAAAUGUACCAAGCGGACAAGUGGUUUAGGGGGGUGUUUGGGAGGGGGAUGCUAAAUUUUAGCACCCCAUUUUAGUCACUUUUAGCCCCUAGUGCUCCCAAACACCUAGGCUAAAAUGGAGGGACUAAAUUUUAACCUCCCAUAAUCCAUUAGCCUCUCAAGAGGUGCUAAAUUGGCUAAAA